rnacentral:rRNA from 1 species
GAUGGGUACUAGGUGUUGCGGGUAUUGACCCCUGCAGUGCCGAAGCUAACGCAUUAAGUACCCCGCCUGGGGAGUACGGUCGCAAGACUAAAACUCAAAGGAAUUGACGGGGACCCGCACAAGCAGCGGAGCAUGUGGUUUAAUUCGAAGCAACGCGAAGAACCUUACCAGGUCUUGACAUCCUCUGACAAUCCGAGAGAUCGGACUUUCCCUUCGGGGACAGAGAGACAGGUGGUGCAUGGUUGUCGUCAGCUCGUGUCGUGAGAUGUUGGGUUAAGUCCCGCAACGAGCGCAACCCCUGUGGUUAGUUGCCAUCAUUUAGUUGGGCACUCUAAGCAGACUGCCGUGGAUAACACGGAGGAAGGUGGGGACGACGUCAAAUCAUCAUGCCCCUUAUGACCUGGGCUACACACGUGCUACAAUGGUCUGAACAGAGGGUUGCGAAACCGCGAGGUGAAGCUAAUCCCUUAAAACAGAUCUCAGUUCGGAUUGCAGGCUGCAACUCGCCUGCAUGAAGUUGGAGUUGCUAGUAAUCGCAGAUCAGAAUGCUGCGGUGAAUGCGUUCCCGGGUCUUGUACACACCGCCCGUCACACCACGAGAGUUGGCAACACCCGAAGUCAGUGAGGUAACCGUAAGGAACCAGCUGCCGAAGGUGGGGUCAGUAAUUGGGGUGAAGUCGUAACAAGGUAGCCGUAUCGGAAGGUGCGGCUGGAUCACCUCCUU